rnacentral:sRNA from 1 species
GCUGGGUGCCGUGGUGCACACCUGUAAUCCCAGCAGCUUGGGGGCCUGAGGCAGGAGGAUCUGAGAGUUCCAAGCCAGCCUCAGCAAUGGUGAGGCACUGAGCAACUCAGCAAGACCCUGUCUCUA